AGCGGCGGACGGGUGAGUAACGCGUGGGCAACCUGCCUUACACAGGGGGAUAACAGUUAGAAAUGACUGCUAAUACCGCAUAAGACCGCGGAACCGCAUGGUUCUGAGGUAAAAACUCCGGUGGUGUAAGAUGGGCCCGCGUCUGAUUAGGUAGUUGGUGAGGUAACGGCUCACCAAGCCGACGAUCAGUAGCCGACCUGAGAGGGUGACCGGCCACAUUGGGACUGAGACACGGCCCAGACUCCUACGGAAGGCAGCAG
rnacentral:rRNA from 1 species